GAUGAACGCUGGCGGCGUGCCUAAUACAUGCAAGUCGAGCGAACGGACGAGAAGCUUGCUUCUCUGAUGUUAGCGGCGGACGGGUGAGUAACACGUGGAUAACCUACCUAUAAGACUGGGAUAACUUCGGGAAACCGGAGCUAAUACCGGAUAAUAUUUUGAACCGCAUGGUUCAAAAGUGAAAGACGGUCUUGCUGUCACUUAUAGAUGGAUCCGCGCUGCAUUAGCUAGUUGGUAAGGUAACGGCUUACCAAGGCAACGAUGCAUAGCCGACCUGAGAGGGUGAUCGGCCACACUGGAACUGAGACACGGUCCAGACUCCUACGGGAGGCAGCAGUAGGGAAUCUUCCGCAAUGGGCGAAAGCCUGACGGAGCAACGCCGCGUGAGUGAUGAAGGUCUUCGGAUCGUAAAACUCUGUUAUUAGGGAAGAACAUAUGUGUAAGUAACUGUGCACAUCUUGACGGUACCUAAUCAGAAAGCCACGGCUAACUACGUGCCAGCAGCCGCGGUAAUACGUAGGUGGCAAGCGUUAUCCGGAAUUAUUGGGCGUAAAGCGCGCGUAGGCGGUUUUUUAAGUCUGAUGUGAAAGCCCACGGCUCAACCGUGGAGGGUCAUUGGAAACUGGAAAACUUGAGUGCAGAAGAGGAAAGUGGAAUUCCAUGUGUAGCGGUGAAAUGCGCAGAGAUAUGGAGGAACACCAGUGGCGAAGGCGACUUUCUGGUCUGUAACUGACGCUGAUGUGCGAAAGCGUGGGGAUCAAACAGGAUUAGAUACCCUGGUAGUCCACGCCGUAAACGAUGAGUGCUAAGUGUUAGGGGGUUUCCGCCCCUUAGUGCUGCAGCUAACGCAUUAAGCACUCCGCCUGGGGAGUACGACUGCAAGGUUGAAACUCAAAGGAAUUGACGGGGACCCGCACAAGCGGUGGAGCAUGUGGUUUAAUUCGAAGCAACGCGAAGAACCUUACCAAAUCUUGACAUCCUUUGACAACUCUAGAGAUAGAGCCUUCCCCUUCGGGGGACAAAGUGACAGGUGGUGCAUGGUUGUCGUCAGCUCGUGUCGUGAGAUGUUGGGUUAAGUCCCGCAACGAGCGCAACCCUUAAGCUUAGUUGCCAUCAUUAAGUUGGGCACUCUAAGUUGACUGCCGGUGACAAACCGGAGGAAGGUGGGGAUGACGUCAAAUCAUCAUGCCCCUUAUGAUUUGGGCUACACACGUGCUACAAUGGACAAUACAAAGGGCAGCGAAACCGCGAGGUCAAGCAAAUCCCAUAAAGUUGUUCUCAGUUCGGAUUGUAGUCUGCAACUCGACUACAUGAAGCUGGAAUCGCUAGUAAUCGUAGAUCAGCAUGCUACGGUGAAUACGUUCUCGGGUCU
rnacentral:rRNA from 1 species